rnacentral:rRNA from 1 species
GACGAACGCUGGCGGCGUGCUUAACACAUGCAAGUCGAACGGAAAGGCCCUGCUUGUGUGGGGUGCUCGAGUGGCGAACGGGUGAGUAACACGUGAGUAACCUGCCCUUGACUUUGGGAUAACUUCAGGAAACUGGGGCUAAUACCGGAUAGGAGCUCCUGCUGCAUGGUGGGGGUUGGAAAGUUUCGGCGGGUGGGGAUGGACUCGCGGCUUAUCAGCUUGUUGGUGGGGUAGUGGCUUACCAAGGCUUUGACGGGUAGCCGGCCUGAGAGGGUGACCGGCCACAUUGGGACUGAGAUACGGCCCAGACUCCUACGGGAGGCAGCAGUGGGGAAUAUUGCACAAUGGGAGGAAGCCUGAUGCAGCAACGCCGCGUGCGGGAUGACGGCCUUCGGGUUGUAAACCGCUUUCGCCUGUGACGAAGCGUGAGUGACGGUAAUGGGUAAAGAAGCACCGGCUAACUACGUG